rnacentral:rRNA from 1 species
UAGGGAAUCUUCCGCAAUGGACGAAAGUCUGACGGAGCAACGCCGCGUGAGUGAUGAAGGCUUUCGGGUCGUAAAACUCUGUUGUUAGGGAAGAACAAGUGCUAGUUGAAUAAGCUGGCACCUUGACGGUACCUAACCAGAAAGCCACGGCUAACUACGUGCCAGCAGCCGCGGUAAUACGUAGGUGGCAAGCGUUAUCCGGAAUUAUUGGGCGUAAAGCGCGCGCAGGAGGUUUCUUAAGUCUGAUGU